CUGACAUCAGGUUUUGCCUGUCUGCUGGAGAGAGAGAUACUGGAGGGGAGAUAAUAAGAGGACGCUCGGACCGAUCAACCCAUAUUACCUAGGACUCUGCUUACCAGCUUCUACAACAGUGAGCUUUCCUUGCUGGUUUUAUUUGCAAGUUUUAAUUUACAUUUGGCAAUAAAGUGUUUUCUGCUUUUACCUUCCGGUUGGUGAUGACUCCAUGUAACCCGUAAUAGGAUCCAACGAUCUCAAGGGUCUGAUCCUCCCUAUGCUGGAUAGUUUGGAGUGGUACUAUAACCACUCCACAACUGUGAGUUAAACACCUACAGAAUGUGCUUAUUAAAGGGACACUAUAGUCACCUGAACAACUACAGCUUAAUGCAGUUGUUCAGGUAUGAUCUAUAGCUCCCUGCAGGCAAUCUAAUGUAAACACUGUAUUUUCAGAGAAAAUACAGUGUUACAUUGAUUGAUAGGAAUACCUCCAGUGGCCGUCACUCAGACGGCCACCAGAGGGACUUCCUAUCAUGUAGGGCCCUAAAAAGGCCUUGUACACGUCAGACGUAUUAAAAUACGUCCGACGUGUGCAAAAGAGGGAAGGCACUGUGCGCGCGCCUUCUCUCUCUUGCCUGUCAGCCGAGGAGAGAGGGUGGGCAAAGACCGCGAGCUGAGCUGUCAGUCAGCUCAGCUCGCGGCCGCGCACAUGCGCGGUGGUGCGCUCAGGACUUUAGAGGUCCGGCAUGAAUGCCGCCCUCUGAAGUAUGUGCGCAUGUGCGGCUAAGCCGCGCAUGCGCACAAGGGAGCAAUGACGCUUCCAAAUGAAAGCGUCUGAUUGCCCCCUGCUCGCGCCCGCCUAUUUCGUCAUUUUGACUAAAUAGGGGGCGCGGCUUCAUGAAGCUCCCGGCGCUGGAACCAGGUGAGUAAAACGGGUUGGCUGGAGAGUCCCUUUAAGAUUGGUAUACAGACUGUAUUGCACUAGGUUUCUUUUUUUAUGUAGUUAUAGAUACCUGCAUAUUUUUUGUUCUUUUGUCACUUUAUGUGGUUUGUGACACACGUGGUUUUAAAAUAAUAAGGUUAUCCCACACUUAAUUGUUUGGAUAACUUGGGACGUAAUUAUAUAUUAUCUAAUUGAUCUUUCAAUUGUUUGCACACCUACACUUUUUUUGGUUUAAAAGGAUGUCAGCAACGUUUAGACAGGUUAAAGUCAUGACAUCAGUGAGGGUAAGACUUCUAUUAUUUAGUUAUGUGACCAUAUAAUUUUAUCCAUAAUAAAGGACCAGGUGCUUUUAGGCUGUCAUUUCCAGACUGUGCAUCCUUGAAUGAUGAAUUUAAUUGAGAGAAAUGUUCAGUAUUUUAUUCAUGGUAAGGCAUUCAAGUUGAAACUAGAGAUUGACAUUUACUUUCAUUUGCUGCUUGUACAUCUUGAUUGUUUCUGCUCAAUUAGUUUUUAAAAAAAAUCAUUUUAUUUUGAUUACGGAUUGCGAAAGAAAUGUGCAAAUUCAUGUUUUGAAUUUGAGAGGUUUUUACUCUUCGAAUGGAUGUUGUAAAGAGAAGCUGAUUUUGAAUCUGCUCACAUUAUUUGAAUGUCUUUUAUUUUUUUUAUUUCUUGGGAUUUGUAGAAGGUGAUGAUUGUAGCUUUCUGUUGCAUGUAUUUUGUGAAAAAGCUAAGAGGUUGAGCAUCCCAUUGGCUCAUGAAAAGAAACGUUAAACUGACAAUCUGUAUGCAAUUCUUGGGAAUUGUUACGUGCUGGUUGCAAAGAUGACAAAAUUGUUAGAUGAAAAAUUAUUAGACGAGAUUUGAGUUAAUGCUGUCGACUAGAAAGCAAUUUCAGCCUUUAGCAAGUCCCUUGGCACCUGCAGGAAGGAUCAUGCUAAAAGACAGAAUAUUCAGAAGAAGGCUUUGGCCUAUUUUGAAACUUAAGAUGGCUUGAAAUAUGGGUUUACGAAUGGCCUACGAAUGGCAUGGCUGUGAUUGGCCAGUGCAGCAUGUGACCCAGCCUCUAUAUAAGCUAGAGUGACGUAGCGCCGCAUGUCACAUGAGCGGUUAUUAGUGUAGGGAGAGGAUGCUGCAGGUGUGAGGGGCAGAUUAGGAAAUAAUGCUGGUGUUAAAUCUGCAAACUACAGCGAUUAUUUUUGUGGGUGCUAUCCUACAUUAUUGUACCCUUCCCUGAGCCAAGUGUCACAGAGAAAUAAUCAGUCUGUUUGUUAAUGUGCCAGGCACAUUACUUUAAUCCUGUUCUGGUAGCUCAGUGGGCAACAUCUAGGCAUUUUUAAAUACUGCUGUGACAUCGCAGUUUUAAAAACUCACUUUUUUUGGUGCUAAAUAGUACAUUUGGGGUGUGCACUUCAUAUCUGAGAGUCAAGUUACAAUGUAGUUACAAUGCCGUUUUAAAAAUUCUAAUUUUUUUGGUGCUAAAGAGUACAUUUGGGGUGUGCACUUCAUAGCUGGUGUAUGUGUGCAACACUGGCUAGUUACCACUUCUCGAGAAAGUCUAAAGACAAAUAAAUGUUGCCUAUGGUGCAGGUAGUAUAGAAGGCAAGACUGACAAAUCCUUCAGGUUGCAUUUGCCUAUUGACAUGUUAAUUAUCUUAGACCAUUAAAAUUCAAUAAUCAAUGAAAAAACACACUGUCAUACAAAAAUAUGUAUUAUAGACAAGUUAAAAACAAGACUACAAGUCAUGCUAUAAAAAAAUUAAACAAGUUUUAAAAUAUGUAUGGGCCAACCAGUGGCUGGAAAAACAAAGUUUUACUGGUUACAUUCAUGACUACACACUCUAGUGAACAGGACCUUCAUGUAGUGUGUUCUUUUUUUUUUUUUAAAUCAUACAGCAUCCUUUCAUGUGGUUUUUAGAUGUCAUAUUGUUAAUUACCAAUUUUUGUUUAGCCUGAUAAAUAAGUGUUAGUGUGAUCGCUUCAUAUACAGAAGCAUUAAUAUACAUUUCUAUAUUGUGUAAAGACACAACUACAAAGUUAAAAACCAAACACCAAAACAACGUGCCAGACAAUCUACCUGUGCAUGGCUCAUGUGAUACAAUAAGUCUACAUCUUAAAAUACAGUAACCCACAGAAGAUGGACGAGAAUUUUUGGGGGCAAUCGGAACUUUGAUUGGAAUUUACUACAUCGGUCACUUGUAAUAUUGUUUCACACCUACAACACUUGUUAAACAGAUCUAAGUGAUAGAAAACAGACUGAUAUUUUCUAUCACUAGAAACUACCAGAUAACAAGCUGCUAUAUUUAAACCAGUUAUCAAUAGCUAAGAGGUACUUAAACAAUAUUGUAAUUCUGGGGCAAGUCAAACUGAGAGGUCAGUUUAUAGCAGGGGUUCUCAACCCAGUCCUCAGGACCCCUACCAGUCCAGGAUUUGGGGAUUACCUGGGUGUGUCUAAGGUGUUUAGAAAAAGGGAAGAAAAAAAAACCUUAGACUCUAAGGUGUUUUUUUUCUUUUUCUAAACAUCUUAGACACACCCAGGUAAUCCCUAAUCCCUGGACUGGUAGGGGGUCCUUGAGGGCAAGGUUGAGAACCCCUGGUUUAUAGGGAAAACUGUUUCCUGGAUACAAUUCUAAAACAAUUUCCAUAUGUCCUUUGCAGACUUUACAAAUAAAAAUUUUCAGUGAUUUUAAACAUGUGAAUAAAAUGAUAUUUUAAGAAAGUGUAUAAAUAUAAAAAAACAAGCUUAAAAAAAUGAAAACCCCAACUCUGAAGCAUGUUUGACAAGGUAAGUUGUCAAAUCGCAAGCUGACUACUUACACUGGGAGGGCUCCAGGACAAACCUGGGACCAUAAUCUUUAUCACUAAUCUACAGUCUGUACCAAUUAUAGUGUUUGCCAUUUCAGUAAGUUAUUCUUAGUGAACGUUACAUGCUGGAAAAACACAGGUGCCAACUGCUGUGGCUUUCUGCAGUGUGCAGACCGGAAAGGAAGGCAGGGUUGAGGAGUGGGGUGGAAGAUGAUGUGGAGGAUGAUCAGGUCCUAGACCCCACAUGGAAUCAAGGUCAUGCAAGUGACGUGAGCAGUUUGGAGGAAGAGGCGGUGGUCGCACAGAGGCACCAGCACAGCAUAAGAGGGAGCGGGGUGCAAAGGCGGGGCGUCGUCCCCUAGACAGUACGCCUGCUACUGCCCACCGCAUCCAGGGACCGAGCACACCAAAGUCAGCUCCAAGGAGUUCCCUGGCAUGGCAGUUCUUCACACAAUGUGCUGACGACAAGACCCGAGUGGUUUGCACGCUGUGCAAUCAGAGCCUGAAGCGAGGCAUAAACGUUCUAAACCUGAGCACAACCUGCAUGACCAGGCAUCUACAUGCAACGCACGAGCUGCAGUGGAGUAAGCACCUCAAAAACCAAGAAAGGUCUCAGGCUCCUCCUGCUUCCUCUUCUGCUGCUGUCUCGGCCUCUUACUCCACCCCGCAAACAGAAGAUGUGGCAGCAACACCACCACGUCCGCCACCGUCCCCAAGCAUAUCCACACCAUGGAAGUGUUCAGCUGUCCAUUUCCCAAACACUGGAGAGAAAGAGGAAGUACCCCUCUACCCGCCCGCGAUCCCUGGCCCUGAAUGCCAGCAUUUCAAAAAUCCUGGCGUUUGAAACGCUGUCAUUACGUCUGGUGGAGACGGACAGUUUUCAAAACAUGAUGGCGUUAUUGGACUGCAAAAAAUGCACCACAGGCCGCAAAUGUUUCUUUUUUUUAUAUGUCCCAUUUAAAAAUAAAUAAAUAAAUAACAAUGUUGGCUACCUCCUCCUCCACCGCCGCUUCCACCUAAACCGCCACGGUCACCGCCUCUUCAACCUCCUACUCCACAUCCACCUCCUCCUCCUAGUUCAAAAUUAUUUUUAAUUUUUAUGUAUUUUUAUGCUAUUUUAAGUUAUUUCCCUAUCCACCUUUGUUUGCAGGGCACUUGUCCUACUCUUGCACCCAUUUUACUUCCUUUUGCAGCCGUCUAGCCCUUUCCAGGACUUUUUUAGAGGCAUUUCAGUGCCAGAAAGUUCGGGUCACCAUUGACUUCAAUGGGGUUCGGGGUCAAGUUCGAGCCCGAACCCUAACUUUUUGACGAAGUUCGGCCGAACCCGAACAUCCAGGUGUCUGCUCAAGGAACAAUCCUUGAAUUAUUUCCUAUUGCUGACAAGUUUGUAGUCUGGAAUUAAGUUAAAAAUAAAACAAAGUGCUCAUUUAUUGACUUUAUGAGAAGUCCAGACCUGGUUAUACUGGGCCACUGGGCUUAGUCUCCCCCACUCUGAAGUGCCUGGUCACACGAUGGGCGUUUUAAACCAGACGCAUUGACUGCAGCCUACCUGGGAACGAAAGAGUGGUGGACGAACUCCCCGCAGGAGCAAAUGGACAUGGCUGGUGCUCUGAGUCCACUUCCCGUCGAUGAGGGAUAUCCUGGCAUGUACUCUUAGGCUUGCUAAAUCAACCAAUGGUGGAAACAUGACCUUGCAGUUGUCACAGAAAUGUGAGGCCUAUCUCCCUGCAUGUGCUAAGAUGGUGGGCACAAUGCUUACCUCCACCACACAAAACAUGCUGGAGUCAACUAUGGCAUGGCUAAAAGACAUCUUUUCAGUUCUCGCUGAAGUUGAACAAAUGACAGGGCCAGAUUGUGGAGAACAUUCACCGUCAUAAAGCUCUUCUCUCAACACAACCCAGAGGAAGCCUAGAAGAAAAUCCCAACAACCCAAUGCCCGUCCGGAUUCCAUACUGUCCAUUGCCCAUUACUGCAAUCCCGGGUUGAUUACCCCGAUGUAAUUCUCCCAACUCCAGGACUUGGGUCGCGAUGCCAGGAGAAUUUGAACCAGUGGGUGAGGCUAGCAGAGAGGACUGCUUUGGAUAACGGGACCUUUGUCUUGCAGUGUGAAACAAAUAAUAUGCAUAGGUAUAGGAUGAAUCGAUGGGAGACGUGUCAGUGCAUGUGCUGGGGGGGCGAUGCUUUUGCUUAGUUAUAAUAUGUGUGUGCAAUCAUUUAUGUGCGUGUGUGGUCUGCUAGCUGGGGCUAGCAGUCCAGACACCAGUGGUUAUUAUGCCUUUUGCGUUUUCUCUUAUUUUUCGGAUAUAGUGGUAUAAUGACAAUUACCAAGUUAAUACAGCAGCAUAUACAAAAUGUCAACAUGCUAUUUUUCUAUCUGUGUAAUGCGUUGGCGUUUAAUUGUAGUUAAGCUGAUGAGUAUAUUAUCUACCUUUUUUCAACAUCUCACACUGCAAGUUGUUAGUCCUUUUUUUUCAUGUGUCUUUAUCACAUUAUGUCCAAGAUAUUUCACUAGACCGUUUAUACAUUCAUUUACAAAUUGAAAUUAAUCAAUAUAAAAUAUAGAGCUCAAUUUAAAAUUCUGGUUCUUGCUUUCAAAUCACUACAUAAUGCUGCUCCCACCUAUCUAUCCUCCCUUAUACACAAGUAUGUCCCGUCUGCUGAAGACUUACGUCUAUCUUCUGUCCGUACUACCACCUCUGAUGUUCGCCUUCAAGAUUUCUCGAGGGCUGCACCGUUCCUGUGGAACUCGCUUCCCUUCUCCGUUAGAUGCACACCAAGUCUCCACUCCUUCAAAAAAUCGUUAAAAACCCACUUCUUCAUAAAAGCGUAUCAAUUAAACUGUUAAUAGCUCCUGACUGAUUCCUCUUCUGCAACUGUCACUAGUCUAAUACGAUCCUUACUUUUUUGUGUCAUUUUACCCCACUCCCUCUAGCAUGUAAAAUCAUUGAGCAGGGCCCUCAAAACCUCUGUUCCUGUGUGUCCAACUUGUCUGGUUACAACUACAUGUCUGUUCGUCCACCCAUUGUAAAGCGCUGCGGAAUUUGACUGCGCUCUAUAAAUAUCAUAAUAAUAAUAAUAAUAAUAAUAAUAUAUUGCUAAUCAUUUAAUUGUACAAUGGUAAGUGAUAUCUCUGCGUAGGUUACCUUUCAUGUUCCUCACUCAUGUCAAGUUAUACAUUUCUGCUUAGCUUGUCACUUGUUACUGAUCUAUGGGUACUAUCAAUGAACUAUAUCAUUCCACAUCAAAAAUAGAAAAAUGUACAAAAACAAAUUGUUUCAUUGUGACAAGUGGGUUGUUCAGGUCAUCAAUGCUAUGCAUUCUAAACAUGACUUGGAAAUUAAUUUGUUGCAAAAUCUGGUUUUAACUUUGCCUGAAGUAUAACAUUUGGUUAAAAGCAAUGCAUAUUGCAGGAUAAUAGUACAGCAGAUGCUGUUUCUUGUUUUCAAUUACAGAUCCCAGAUGUUGGUUGCAGAUGCCUAAGAACAGUGUGGAGCUGCCAGAAUGCCUAUGACAAUAGAUUUGAUAUCAUCCAUGUUGAUCUUGAUGAGAGCUCUAGCAAAGAGUACACGGAAUGCAUAU